UCUUAUUAUUGCACUGGCUAAAAGAUCUCUCCCUUUGUGGUUUUGUUUGUUUCCACUUCCCCCUUUAUUUGGUGAGAACAACAAGCUCAGUAAGGCUCAACCUUUGCUCUUUGAAUCGGUUCAGUUACUCACCUCCCUAGAGGCAGUUUAGAAACUCCCUCGAGCAGAAUAAAUGAAGCUCUCCUAAUUCUUUGUUUUGAUGUUUCUGCCCACACCCACACUCCUGACACUGUCAAAUAUUCCAGCCUCUGACUUUGGGAUCCUAAGAGAUGCUGUGGGAUUUAACUGCGGAGGUGACACAUUCAAUGUAUAAUGGUAACCUGAAGGGGCACUGAUCCCACUGAACUCCUUAGCUCCCAGCUUAGGAACUGACUGUGGCAAAUUUCAGUUAGCAAGUACAUCUAGCACAGUGAAGGCUAGCAAUUUCUGAAGUCCUUCAGUUCACUUCCCAGCCCCUAGUUCUGUGAAUUGCCUCAGGGCUGGCUCCUAACAGCUGUGCCUGGGCUCUGAGCUUGGAAUUUUCUUCUUUGAACUCAUACAGAAAAAUUUACGUGUUUUCUUUUUUUUCUGUCAAUCUAUUUCCAGAUGCUUUAUAGCUUUCAGAACUAUAGCUGAGUACAAUCUACCAAAAACGUAGUGGUUUAAAACAACAAUUUAUUAUUAUCUUAUGAGCCUCUGUGUUGACUGAGUUUAGCUGAGCUGUUCUUCUGGUCUCACUUCUGGUCUCUCAUGCAGUCAUAGAUAGCAGCUAGGACGGCAGUCCUCUGGAGGCUGUGCUGCAUGGAGACAUCCAAGAUGACUUCUCUCACAUGUCUAGCAACUUGAUGCUUCUCCACAUGGCCUGUCUCCUCAUCCUUAGGGGUAUCUCAUCCUCCAGGGUUUCUACACAUGACCACUUUCUACAGCGUGGUAGCUGGAUGCAUACAUUAUGGUCCGCUUUCAUGAGUGCAAAAAAGGAAGGUGCCAGGACUUUUAAAGGCUUAAAUCCAAAAUGCUACAGCAUCACUGUCACUGCAUUUUAUUGAUUAAAGUCCACCUGCAAUAUGGGAGGAGACUACACAGAGGAAUAAGUACCAACAAGCGUGGUUCACUGGGAUCAUUUUUGUAUAACUAUCACAUCACUUUGUUUUGGUUUCCAAAGCUGUUGUGUUUUGGGACGUUUUUUGAAAUUACUUCAAAAAGAUUUAGAGGAGAAAAAAAUGAACUCAGUUUUAAUUCACCAUCUUAAAGUGGGAAUCCAGUAUUUGUUUUGAAAAUGGCU
rnacentral:lncRNA from 10 species